rnacentral:tRNA from 1 species
GGGCGCGUAGCUCAAUGGUAGAGCAGCGGCCUUUUAAGCCGUUGGUUUCGGGUUCGAAUCCCGACGCGCUCA